rnacentral:piRNA from 1 species
GCCUUGUUGUUACCAUUGUUGGAGCCCAAG